ensembl:snRNA U6 U6 spliceosomal RNA
GUGCUUGCUUUGGCAGCACAUAUGCUACAAUUGGAAUGAUACAGAAAAGAUUAGCAUGGCCCCUUGAGCCAGGAUGACAUGCCAAUUUAUGAAGCAUUCUAUAUUUUA